CGAACGCUGGCGGCGUGCUUAACACAUGCAAGUCGAACGGUGACCCUCAGAGCUUGCUCUGAGGUGAUCAGUGGCGAACGGGUGAGUAACACGUGAGUAACCUACCCCAGACUCUGGAAUAAGCGCUGGAAACGGCGUCUAAUACCGGAUAUGAGACGGAGUCGCAUGACUACCGUCUGGAAAGUUUUUCGGUCUGGGAUGGACUCGCGGCCUAUCAGCUUGUUGGUGAGGUAAUGGCUCACCAAGGCGACGACGGGUAGCCGGCCUGGGAGGGCGAUCGGCCACACUGGGACUGAGACACGGCCCAGACUCCUACGGGAGGCAGCAGUGGGGAAUAUUGCACAAUGGGCGAAAGCCUGAUGCAGCGACGCCGCGUGAGGGAUGAAGGUCUUCGGAUUGUAAACCUCUUUCAGCAGGGAAGAAGCGAAAGUGACGGUACCUGCAGAAGAAGCACCGGCUAACUACGU
rnacentral:rRNA from 1 species